rnacentral:rRNA from 1 species
UACGUAGGGGCCGAGCGUUGUCCGGAGUUAUUGGGCGUAAAGGCGCGUAGGCGGCCGUGCAAGUGGAAGGUGAAAUCCCUCGGCUCAACCGAGGAACUGCCUUUCAAACUGCAUGGCUUGAGUCCGGGAGAGGUGAGUGGAAUUCCCAGUGUAGCGGUGAAAUGCGUAGAUAUUGGGAGGAACACCAGUGGCGAAGGCGGCUCACUGGACCGGAACUGACGCUGAGGCGCGAAAGCGUGGGAGCAAACGGG